rnacentral:rRNA from 1 species
UACAGAGGUCUCAAGCGUUGUUCGGAUUCAUUGGGCGUAAAGGGUGCGUAGGUGGCGCCGUAAGUCAGGUGUGAAAUUUCGGAGCUUAACUCCGAAACUGCAUUUGAUACUGCGGUGCUUGAGGACUGGAGAGGAGACUGGGAAUUUACGGUGUAGCAGUGAAAUGCGUAGAGAUCGUAAGGAAGACCAGUGGCGAAGGCGGGUCUCUGGACGAGUU